CACUCGGCGCCGACGGGGCGGGUCCCCGAUGGGGAGGCCGGGAAGGGGGAGGCUCAGCCCGCCCCGGCCUGCCCUGGGGGGGUUCCCUCUGGUCGACAAGGGGGUGAGGAAAGCUUGCGUGGAUGCAUAUUCUGCCCUUCAGAGACAAUGAAGAUACGAAUUUGUAGCUCGCUCCUUGUUUCCCAGCUCCUGAGGCCAGUGAUGGAGAAACAGCAGUCUGAGGUGAGACAGCAUUCAAGAAAACCUCAUCAAAUGUUUUCAGAGUUCCUUGAGAAAAAAUACUGUUGUGCUUAAAAAUUGAAUAUUAUGUGCUCCACAGUACUUUCAUUUGAACCUGACCUUCCCAUUCUCCCUGUCUUCAUUUAAUAAUGAAAAUCAGUGGUUACAUUAGAUACUGCUACUUUUUACUAUAAGUAGUUAUCCCAAAAAUGUAAGAGUUGUAUGGAUGUUUUUAUGAUUGUAGUACUUGGCCAGGGAUGAAAACAAUCAUCUGACUGUUUGCGUACUUACAGUGAUAUGCAGAAGUCUGAUGGAUGAAAGGAUUUUCUGAGGCCAAAACUAAUAUCUAUGUUCACUCAUUCUUGGUUUUUUAAUUAAGCGUUUUUCUUUUUUUUUUUUUUUUUAAAGCAUCUGAGCAGUAAAGAUCUCAAUUUCAGAAAGAUUUUUGUCUAAAGAUACUGGAAUGUAUAGUUUUCACUUGUCCACAAAUUACAACUAGAUUUUUGAUGCUGAAGAAUAUGUUAUUGUAACAGCACAUGCCCCUAAAGAUUUUACAGGAUUUAAAAGAUGCUUGGUUUAGGCAGGUUUUUGCUAUGAAACAUGAUGAGGAAAACAGUGAUUAUAUUUGGAUUUCCAAAACAGUCUUUGCUCUUAUUAUACUUGUUUUUAUACCAAUUCUGAUCUUAGUAUCUGAGUACAUUGUAUUAAUGUUAGGUAACACCAAAACAACUGGGAAUGUAAGUCUUUGCUAUCAGUUGACAGCACUGCAUAUGAAAAUGAAAUAUUUCUCUUUGAUACAGAAUGUGGAAUUGGAGCAUUUGAAAAAUAAAAUUUUAAUUAAAAUUCAUGUAUAACUUCCUUUCUUCAGAGAGUUGUUGUAAUUGUAUGUCCUUAACAACCACCUACAAAAGAGCAAAUAUGCUGCUGAAAUAACUUUUUCUGACAAUGAAAUAUUUGAAAAUCAUAACCAAUCAAUGCAUAGCAUUAACUUCACUGAUUUAGAAUGGUGCUUUUUUGUUUAGAUUCUACAAAGAAAUGUAUAUAACAACAAUUAUCUCCCUUUUAUAAGGAAAGAGAAAACAAAUAGUAAAGCAAAAAGAAGCACCUUGGAGUUGAAACAUUCCAGAUGGAUUUGGAACAGUUCUGUGUGGAUUUUCUGCUAGAAUAUUUCACUCCAAAUUGAGAUCUUCAGCACAGGGAAGAUUAGAACCAGUAAAGGAGUAAUUAAGGCCCUUCAUAUGUACAUAAAGGUGAUUCUGGAAAGUUCUUUUCUUCCUUUUCAAGUCAUAUUUAGUGCUGUCAGGAUUAAGUGAAGACCACCUCAUGGUUAAUGAGGUUUUCACCAUUAAAACUUAAUCUCUUAAAGUGCUGUCCCUUUUGACUUUAAUACUUUUAAAAAAAAGUCUAUUUUAGCAUGAUUAUAUGCCAUAUUUAACCCAGACGGAUAUUUUUAGAUUUUACUGAUUUAAAACUAUUGUCCAGUAUCUUCUGUCUGUAUUGACAGCCUAAGUCAUGUAUCUGUAAGUUUGUCUUUCACUGUCGCCUUUCACUGUUUCCUAUAAAAUGUUAUAUGAACUCCUAAAGUUUUUAUUUUGAAUGACAGACAGUUCAGCAAGAAUUUUAUCAUAUGCAGAGGACAUUCAAGGAACUCUUGAGAGUUCCUUAUGUUCCGCAUUAUAAAGUCUGUUAGACAUACCCGACACAAUCUGACCCUGAUUUUCAAGCAUUUGGAAGGCCCAAAUAAAAUUACAUUUCUAUAAUACUUUCAUUCUUUUUUUCAAGUGUACAUUAAGUGUACAUCUAAAGAAACUGCAUUGUACUACUCCAUUUUGGGUUUAGGUAGCAGCCACAAGAGAUUAAAUGCUGUUAAGUGUAGUGAAGUGUGAAGAUGACAAGAUAAAUGAACCAGAGGCGCCUCACGUUCCAACGCACAGUGGUACAGGUUUUGUAUUCCAGACACAAAUGUCACCUUCGGGUUGAAGUCAUAGUAGAUGAAUUGCUGUAAGUAUAACUGAGAUAGUUUUUGUUUGUUUGUUUUUCUCCGAUUACCUUUGUGCUUUAAAUAUAGUCCUCCUGAGUCAAGCAAUGAGUUAAUUGCCUGUGAGAUUUGUGAUGGAAAGUUCUCUCUGAAAUAAACACAGUACUAAAAGUUUUUCUUUCUUUUCAGACAUUGGGAGGAUGGACUGCUCUUAGUGACAGGGUACUAGACUAGACUGAUACUGGUCUCCUGGGAUGCUAGUACUUGACUGAUACAUAUAGCUCAGUGUCUUAGAAUUGUUAACUGUAUCGUAGCAAAAUAUUUUUUCUGUAGUUUUUCUAAUAAUCCCUUUAAAACCAUGUGCAGAAUGUUACUUCGCAUGUGAAUAUUAGUUCUGACAACUCUGGUAUGAAUGAUGUGUUGGUGGACUUUUGAAAAUGUGAAGGACAGGAAUCAGCCAGUGAGCCUAGAUGGGACUUUAAAAAGAUAUUUACAAAUUAUUUAGCUACUAUAAAAAAAGAAAAAAGAGAAGCUGACUAAAGGUCUCAAUUAAUACAUUGUAUCAGCCUCUCUCAGUUUAGUUCCCCUUCUUUGUUACAGUAAGACAACAUUGAUCUAAAAUUUGUUAGCAGUGUUUCAUUAACACCAGGGGAGGGCAGGCUUGAAUUGGAAACUAUUCUUGCUACUUCAAUUACUUGAACUUAAAAUAACAGAUAGUCCCUCGAGCUCAAAGCUGAUGGAAUUUCUCUACUAUUCUAAUUACUCUUCCACUGGAUAAAAGCUUCUUUACAAUUGCUGUUUGACAAAAUGAAUGUUUUGCUGUGUUGCAGAAAGAAUAGUGAAUGUUUAAGUAAAGAUGAUAAUAUGAAAGUGGAUGAGUCAGUUUAUUAGCAGCUGUGUGCUAUUCACAGGGGAGAAUCCAUGCUGCUUAAUAAUUAAUCACGUAUAUCUUAAAACGGUUUUUAAAAAUGAGUGAAUAUCAUUAUCCCCACUUUAUAGAUGAAAAAACAGACGAAUAGAGAGGUGGCUUUGCAAAUUAUCGGUCUAGGUGACCUGCAGAGGCAAGAACAAAAUCCAGAUUUCUGAGAUCUAGUCCAGUGCUCAGGUAUAUCUUUGGCAUAAAUAAACUAUGGUAUGUCUAACAGUUACAAACAUGGAAAUGACUGCUUGCAGCCCAAAUUGCUGAGGAACUUACAAUAAUGAAAUGGACAGGUAACCUGAUAGGCAGAGUAUAGCUCUUUCUCCUCAAGAGGCUGGGUAGAGGUCAGAUCAGAUGGCUGAAGAUCUGCACUAAAAAUUGUAUGUUAUUAAAACAAGUAAUCUGCAUGUUUUUGUAUAUUUGUCAUUUUUUAUGUUAGAUUUUACUCUCUCCAAGGAAUGAAAAGCCUUUCUAUGUAGACCUUAAAAGCCAUUCCAGCCUGAGUACUAGGAAAUGUAUGGUUAAAAAGUCAAUUUGCAUACAGGUGAAGGGUUAAGAUGCUAACCGAUUGUUCCUCCGUUCCUUUCAUCUUUAAUUAUGAGGGUUUCAAAUUAUGAGCAAAACAUUAGGCUUCCUAUUAACUCACCAAGACCAUCCUAUUUACUGUACCUGUGGUCAGUAACAUUCAUGGGAUUUGUGACUCAUCAUUAAGUGUUCUCCUUCAUUAAGGCACUAAGUUGAAUAGCUAAAUAUAGUUGCUAUUUUUAUUUGAUUAAAUAUAUGUAUUCUACUUUCUUUAUAUGCUGUCUUACGAGGUCAUUACCCAUUGUAAAAGCUUUUUAAAGUAUUAAAAUGCUCUGCAUUUUUUUAUGCAUAAGCCUUAGCAUAAAUUGUUCUGUUUCUAGAAAAGACUGGAGGCAUACUGUUAUGAAGCCUCCUAUGCCUAAGACUUGUGUAAGAUAUACCAGAGAACAUUUGGUGCUGCAUAUUAAAAACUCCAUUUGUAGAAUGAAUGAGCACAUUGCACAAUGCAGUUUUCCUUUUUUCUUAUUGCCAGUUUGCAGUGGCCAUCGUGUUGAUGGUGUGAAUUAGUCAUUGGUUUAUGACUCCAGUGAAAAGGACCACGUCCAUAAUCAUAAGGUAGAAUGUAAAUGAGUGGGCACUUAGAGUUUGAACUCAAAAACUGCAUAACCUAUUACAGUGUUACUCAUUUUUGGUUUAUUUCCAGACAAAUCGUGUUAAAAUAGGAGUCAGAAAUGGCUGGCAGUGAUUUAAAGUACAAUGCGGCAAUUAUCCGAAAACUUAUUACUGUACAUUCAGGCAGUGAAUUUCAGGUCGAUAAUUUCUCUGUGCAUUUUGUGUACCUCAUGAAGAGUUGACAUCUCCAAAUAUUCAUAACUUUCCAUAGCUCACAGAGGCCUGAAGAUGCAAUUCAAAAGGGAAGAAAUUAAUUUUCUCUUCUGCACAAGGUAAGCAUCAACGCUUUUAUAUUUGUAAAUGAUUUUUAUGUUUAUGGCUUACAAGCUAUCUGAGAAGAAAACUUCUCUUCUCAAAAUGACCACUAGUUGAAGGUGUUUAUUUACAGACUAAUUUUGCAGCAAACCAGUACCUGCUAGCUCAAGAAAAAGCAAGAAAGCUAAUGGUUCAAUUAACUAAAACUGUUGCUUUAAGAAAUGUGUUUCCCACUGUCAGAUUUCUUUAUUCUUUAAUGCAUCCCUAAUUUUAAAUUGGUACUUGUAAAUUUCCAAAAAAAAAUAACGUUUCAUACUCUCAGGGUAAAUGCAAUAAUCUGGGCAAGGAUACAUGUAAUAUACCAUAGUUUAAGUCUAAAAUUAAAUCUUAAUUCCAGUGUAGUACCAAUGUCUUCCAGUAUCUUUUAGAUGUACUGUAUUUCAGUGUGCAAAGGCUUUAGCUCUUUUGCUUAAUGUCACCUCUCAGUCUCUUGCAACAGCACUAACAUUCUCUUCAUCUUCAGUGCAGAAGUACAAUAAAAUGGAGGAAGUAGCACAGUGAGCAGUUGGAGAGCAAAGAUGUGGGUUCAUGGGAAGGACAGUAUCUGUCUGUCCCCAGAUAAAUCUAAGUCCAUCUUCCCAGCUUGUAGUUGGCUUUGUUUACCUUUUGCUCCAUAAGAAAAACAGAAACUCUCCUUGGUAAAAUUUCCUUCAGAUUACAACCAGAGAUAAACCCAUUCUGUACUCCGAAAUUAAAGUUUUUUUGUCAGACAGCUUGUAAGCUAUAAACAUAAAAAUCAUGUACAAAAAAAAAAGUGUUGUUGAAGCAAUUAUGUGAAAUAAGGCAUAUAGGAAAAUUAAUGUUGAAAAUGCCCUGAAGAUAGAGAAAAAUGAGAGGAUAGUUCCACUGCACCAGCUCUAUCUGUUCAAUACACUAAGCUAAAGGAGAAUUUUACCUUGUUAUUGUUACUUGUGUGACUGAUUACAUCUUUCAGUUAAAACCCUUAAUAGUUAUUAAUGGUAAAUACGUUUGUGCUUUUGAGGGCAUGGCAAGUUUUUCCUACUGGUAAGCUUCACGGGUUUUCAGCUCCACUUCCAUGUAGCUUCCCUAUAACUUCUUAUAUGCUGUUUGUUUGUACUCAACUGUCCCUUUUAUUUGUAAUAUAUAAAGCGUUCAAAAAACUCAUGAUUUAAGAGUAGUUAAGAUAUUACUAACUCAGAAACAUAAAAUGUCAUUGUUAAGUAUACUCGUGUUUGUUCUGCUGAGCAGGUCCAUCUUGGUUACAAAGGGAGCUGCAGAUAAUGCCAAAUAACUGUCAUAGAGCAGUGGCUAUUGCUGUAGGCAGAUUGAGCAAACGUUUUUGCUAUAUUCCUCUACGUGGAAAAACAUGGAUAGAUAUAUUCUGUAUGAAAAAAGAACGUUAUUGAGUGCUUAUGGACAAAAAUAAAAUGGUAUUUUAUUGGCAAAGUACUCUUAGUUUUGGAUAAACAAAGCCAAAAUCAAAAAAGAUGAUAAAUUUAAGUAUACCAUGCAUAAUGCUAAUACACUCAUAUUUGAUCAAAAUCAGCUACGUUGGCAAUGAGCUUUCAAAUAUGGGAGUAAUGACAGUGAAAAAAUACUUCCACAUCACUUGACAGUAAAGCCUAUUACUGUCGGGUUGCCAUUGCCCUUGAAUGAGUGCUCAAGUGUCCUUCCCUCUUUUGAUAAAUGCAUAUGUUUGUACUCACUGUCACAAGUAGCUGAGAAUCACCAAUUUAUUCCUUGUUUAGAACUUUGUGGAGUCUACUACCUGUGAGCAGGCUCUGCUUAAAUUAGCUGGAACUCCUAAUCACAAAGCUCAUUCUUGACAUCCUUCAGCGUCCAACAGUCUGUUGCAACUCCUGUUAUACCUUCUAGGAUUCUAUGUAUAGGAAUUUCUUUUCUUCCCCAAUUGGCACCAAGCCAGAAACAUAUCCACGUGCAGAAAUGAGUCUGAAUGUUGUUCACACCACUUUUUUUGUGUUUGUUUUUCUUAGUAGUUUCUACUCUUGAACUGGUCGCCGAAAUGCCAGUAAGCCUCGACGUCCUUCUAGUAAGUAAGUACUGAAAAAGCCUUCCUCUGAGAGGACUAAACAUUAGAUGUUACCUGGGAGCUAUCUGUAUUUGAACUUAGUUAUCACAAAAAGAGCUUACGUGUUUGCUCUGACACAAUUAUUUAUUUAUUACUUGAAAUUUAGAUUGGGCUUCUGCAGAAAGCAGAAAGAUUUCUGGUAGCUCACCAGCCAGUUGGUUCCUGCUGUCCCCAGGGCUAGCCAUGAGCUGGUCUUUCCAGAUGCUUAUUGACAGUCUUACGCUUGCAAUUUUUGCCAGGCCAGUAACAUGAUCACAGCAUAACAGCCUGCCUCACAGCAAGUCAAGGAGAAGAGGGCAGAUGCUAGUAGGAAUUGAGGCUACUUGGAGAUUGAUGCCUGGCAAUGUUAACCAGAGGCCUGAGAAAGGUGAAGGCUUUCAGAGACCGGGGCUAAGCCCUGCAUUGGGUUUACAUGGCAAGGUUUUGGUAGCGUGGGGGCUGCUGGGGUGGCCUCUGCAAGGAGUCCAGGAGCUACGCCACGAUAAGAGUUCGGAAAGGACAGCAUCCCUUGGGAGGGACCCCACGUGGAGCAGGAGCAGAGAGUGACCGUGAGGGAGUGGAGAAGACGAAGCGUCAGGGACUGACCGCAGCCCCCAUUCCUCGUUCCCCUGCAUUGCUUCGGGGGGAGGACAUAGAGUAGGGUGGAUGGGGGGGAGGAAGGUGGUUUUAGUUUGUUUUUAGUUCGCACUGCUCUAGUCUGUUAUCAAUAGGAAAUAAAUUAUAUUAAUCACCCUUA